CCCGCGACACUCAUACCAAGGCACAUUUCUUACACUUAAUAUAGGCGCAUCCAACCUUUUGAAACUCAAAACAAUAUCCUCCAUUUAAGUCAAUUUGGGGCUCCAAACUAAAGAAUCCUAAUUCCCAAAUUUGUCAUCCAAAAUUAAAAUACAAGAUCAUUUAUCUGAAGAAUUGGUAACUAAAUCUUUUUAAUCGUUCGAUUUCUUGCUAUAUUGCGAGAAAAUAUAAUUCUUUUGUCUUGAUUUUGUUGAAAUUUUGAUAAAUAUUUCUUCCCUCAAGUAUUUAUUCAACCUCUCUUAAAGCUUGUUUUCUUAAUCAAGGCAUUUUAAUGGCUAAGAUAAGUUUGAGUAGACUUUGUAAGAAAGAAGAAGAUCAUAAGUUGGACGAGGUUCGAUGCAAAAAUGGACAUCUUUUGCCUUUGAUGACUUUAUGGACCUCAAGAAAUCUGGGUAGACAAUAUUGAAGUUGUCCUUACUAUGUGAGUUUUUAUUCAAACAUUGAUCUUGAAUAGUGUAUAUGAAUUUAAUUGCUUUCAUUUUAGAAUGCUAGAUUAUGUGAUUUUUGUCUUUGGAAGGAUGAUUAUAUUGAUCAAAGAUCCAAAUUUGUUAUUGCUAAAUUGUUGGAAAGAAUUAGGGAGCUUAAGGAAAGAGUUGAAUCUUCUGCAAAUUGUAUAAUUUAUGAACACAAAAUAGUUGAUGACAAGACUACUGGGACAACUAAAUUUGUGAAGAGCAAAAUAGACAUGAACAAAAUAGAGUUGCAACUGGAUAAUUUUUAGGAUGAUUUGAUGAUGAUGAAGGCAAAUGAGAAAAAAUGGAAGAUUAAGUUGGCUAAGUCCAAGAAAAGAGAGAAACAACUUUGGACUACUCUCAUUUGUGUAUGUAUAUUAGGUGUUAGUUUUCUAUUUCAAUUCAUGUACUUGAAAGGAAAUCCAAAAAGGUUGCCCAAAACUGUUAAUUUGCUUUGUUUUUGAUAUGUUGUAAGGGACUGAAAUUGUAACAAUUUUUAGGUAUUACCUUAGAAAAAAUUGUUAGGUUGUGUAAUGAAAUUGUUUUGUGUAAUGAAUUGCAAGGUUGAACUUGAUAGUUUUGGCUUUGUUUUUUGUGGUGCAACAUCACAAUACUAAGGCACAACCAACAAACCCACAUAGGCAUAACCACACUUAAAGAACUAAACAUUAAUAAAUGCAGUCACACCUGCUGCAUAAGCACAAAUACAAAUUUCAGCAACAAUAAACUUACAGUUGCUUAAUCAAUAACAAAAAAUGAGUGCAUUUACAUCUUAUUUCCAAAAAUAUUUACAAAAAGAUUACAACUGUUAACAAUAUUGCAGUUACAAAAUACAGUCAAAGCUGCCACCAAUAAAUUAUUUUUAAAGGAGUCACAAUUGUCAACAUCAGUGAACUACCAAAAAUAAUCUUAAAUGCAGUCACAACUGCCAACAUUUAUACAAAUGAAACAAUCAAUCUACACCAACUUCUUAUAGAGAUUGAACAUUGAAGCUUUCUUGAAUCAAGUGUGGAGCCUUGAAUCUUGUCUCCAUUUGUCUUUUUUCCUCUCAUUUCUUGUAGUUGCCUGAAGUCGUACCUUUUUUUUCCUCUCAAUUUCACAUUAGUUUUUGGUGUAUAACCAAGAUUUUCAGUCCCAAUUAUUGAAGACUUCACAGUUCUAAAUCUCUCACUAGGCAUUCCAGGUUGCUCAAAUAAAAAAAGUGUUAACAUUUAUAUAAAUUUUAGUAAACAAAAUUUAGAUAGUAAAGGGGCUAAUAGUAAAUGAAAUAGUAAAUUUACAUUAAGAGUUGUGCAUCCACUUUAUAUGUAAACUACUCCCAUUCCAAUCAUUCUUGGUCUGCCAGCACACUAAAAAGAAAGAAAAGAAGAUAUUAAGUAUAAGGUAAGCAUAAUUAGUUUAUAACAUACAUAUUAAAUAAAAUACAUUUUUUGUAGAAUCCUUUGGUCUACCCCUUCAUCUUCUAGUUGAACCUCUCCCUUAUCCAAUAGUAGGUACUGCAACAGUUGAUCAACUUAGACCUGUACUUGGGACUACACCAAUAGAUAAACUUGGGCCAGGAUUUGCAUUAGUGUCAGCAACAACAUUUUCUUUUAUUGUGACCCUUUCUAUGACAAGUGUUGCAUGACAUCUCAACCUCUCUCUUGAACAACUUUUCAGUUUUCUUUUUGAUUUUACCUUCUUCUUUUUUCCUAUUCUUUUCAGGCCUACCUGACAUCUUCCUAAAAGGAGGUGCAUAACAGAGAUAUUCUGUGAUUCUGGCCACAUCUUCAUAUUCAAAACUGAUUGAAUGAAGAAACUGUAUGUGUUCAUGUAAGUUUCUCUAUUGUACCAGUGAGAGAUGUAGUUUACAGGUUUUAAUUUUUUGUGGUGAAUGUUGACACCCAAUUUUUGCUCUCCAUGCCUAAAAUUAACGUCUUCAGGCUUCCUGAUCGUUAAAGGGCAUAAAAUGUAAUUUUUUUACACCUUUUCACAAUUAUUUUUGACAAAUUAUUGAUAAUCAUCCUUACUUUAGGAUUUUAAUCAAUUUGCUGUCACCUUUUUACUUUUCAUAAUUUAUUAAUACUUUUUCUUAUUUUGAAAUUUUUAUCAAUUUAUUAUCUUUUAAUAUUUUUAAAAUCAUCCGCACACGUGCACGACGUGACAUCACAUAUUUUUACAGUAUUGAGAUGAUUGAUGAAUAGUAAUGUAGUAUUGAUGAAUAGAAAUAUACUGUAUAUGUAUAAUCUUGUCCAUCCCCGAAUAAUUAAUAUUUACUCAUUUUUUACCUCUCCGUACCCUACCUCAUCUAUCUCUUUCCCACCUAAUAUUCCAUCUACCACCUAACACAAUUAUUUUUUUUACUACAACACCACAAAUAUUCACACACUUAAUUUCAUAGAUUUUAGAAUUUUUAUCAGUUUAUUAUAAUUUUGAUAUUUUUGUGCAGUCAUCUGCGUACGUACAUAACAUAACAUUGCAAUUCUUUUUACGUAAUUAUAAUUCUAAUUAUUUAUAGCAUAAAAUAUUUUUUAAUAUAAUUAUAUUAGUUCUUUAUAUUUUUCUGUAAUUAUACAUAGACAUCAUAUAUUUAUACAUUGUAGACACAUAAUUUUAUCUCUCCCCAAAUAAUAAUAUCUCCCAUCUACCCUUUCACAUCUAACACUCCACCAACACAUUCUACAAAACGAAAAGGAGGGGCCCACAUCAUCAUAAUAUUCCACAUCCACCCAUCAUUUUCUACAAUUCUCCUUCCUUUUUCAAAACAAUACACGAUACAUGUACAUAUUUUCUCCACACACUUUUGACCACAACAAAAUAUUACACCUUUCCAACACAAUUACACCUCACACGGGUCCACACAAUUAUUCUCACACCGCAACAAUUAAUAACAUUAUCUCCUCCAUUUUUUUUACACAAAACACACAAAACGCACUGCCUAAGAAUUCACACACCUCACACACCGAUCUUCAACAGAAUACACACACACGGUACGUACAAAGACAAAAAAAAAUUUGGUCAAAUCUUGUGUUCCGACGUUGCUCCGGUGAAAGUUAUAGAAGCAACGCCUAGCUGGGUCCUCAAGAAUAUUUGUCGGGAGUGACAUUUAAAGAAGACUUUGAACUUUGGUGUUGUAUUUCUAUAUUUUUAUACUUGUACAAAAUAUUAUCAUAGUGAAAACAUUACUUUUGGGUGUUGGGUGGGGAUACGUUUACUUACACAAUCUUUAACACACGUUUAGGCAAAUUUAGGCUGUUAAUAUUUAUAUCAAAUUAAUUGAGAUAUCUAAUCAAAUAAUUCAUAAUUUUUACACUAAAAACAUUAUAUAAUUUUUUUUCUUUAAAAUAAAUUUUCCUUGAUUCAAUUUUUUUUUUCAUAUACAUAGUUAAUUUUAUUAUAUAUUUUCAUAUACUUUUAUACAUAGUUUUACUAUAAUAUAGGUAAUUUGUACAUCUUUUGUAUAUAAAUUAUUUACAUCAUUUUAAUACAAAUUUUUUAUUUGUAUAUAUACAUAAAGAUUUUUUUAAAAAUAAACGUAAGUCUGGACGGGAACCACUUUUUGUGGAUUCUGAAGGAUGCCUAAUACCUUUCCUUCGAAAUAAAUUGAACCCUUACCUAGAAUCUAAAUUGGUUCGUAGAUUAAAACACAAGUCAUACAUGUUAAUAAGUAAAUAGGUUUCCUAUUUUUCUGUAAAAAUUAGGUGGCGACUCUGUACAAAAAUUAAUUCUUUUAGAGUCCAUGAUGCCAUGCUUGUUUUGACGUUUGGCAAAAAUCAUGUAUGAUAGAAUGGCGACUCCACUGGGGAAUGCAGAAGGUUCUAACCAUUUCAAAUUUAGGUAAAUAUUUAUAUUUUUCUACAUUAUUAUUUAAUUUUUAUAAUUGUCUUGAUUUAUCCUGUUUGUGUGGUAUAAAUUGUUAUUAGUUUAUUUAUUUGUUUAUUGCUUUAUAUAAACUGUCAUCAUGUUUAUAUUUAAAAAAAAAAGCUGACACAAUCACAUACAAGUGAGGUGUGUUUCGCGCACCCGCAAAUUUCUUUCAAAUUCCAAAUUCUAGGAGAAUUGGCAUAUGUGCGGUGUGUCCGGAUUUUUUUGUGUGACUGCGUAGCCUUCUCAUUCGAGUUGUCCACUUAGGAACCUUGUGUCUAGGAAGCCAAAUCUUAGAAGAACUUAAGAUAGAGCUUCCCUGAAUAUAGGUGCAUGUAUCAUUAGACAACUCUAUGUCCAAAGGGUUCCAGACCCAAGUGACACAUUAUUGUAAUUUUUGUACAUAUUUGAAAAAUUAUUGUGUGUACAUAUUUGUUUGCUCUAAAUUGAUUAUACUUUAGUGAGAAGGUGUAGUCUAGCCUUUGUUUUGUAUAGCGGAUCAAUUAAAAAAUACACCUUAGCUACAUUGCUAGUAGCUGGUGUAGAUUUGAACUACGUUUUGACCUGAUUCUUGUCCUGACAAGAUACGUAGGCAACCCUGCAUAUGGGUUCGGUCUCCUCACUGUUCCAGAAUAAUUUCUUCGGUAUUCAAAACUGAGGCAAAUUUUUUGAAACAGUUCAAAGACGCUCUCCAAAAGCCUUCAAGAGCGCAAUUUAAUAGCUCCUUAAAUCCAAAUCUUAAUAACAUUAGUGUAUAGUCGGCCUACCUUUUGAUGUUAUUUCAAAAAUACAAAAAGAUUUGCUUUAUUCUUCAUUUAGAGUAGGUGUCAUAUACAUCUUUAAAAGAAAAUUACAAAAAAGAUUUUUCUUUACUAGUUUCAAGUUUCAUUUUCGUAUGAAUUUCAAAAUCGAGAGUUCAAAAAGAUUUUUGGUAAUCAUAGGUUUCAUUUUGUAUAGGAAUGUUAAAAUUGAAAAAUUCAAAAAUAUUUUUCGUUAAUUCUUUUGACAUUUGUUAUUUUCUUUUCUUUUUUCAAAAAAAAAAAAAAAAGAAAGAGAGUUUGUUGGCCAUGUUGUGCCAAAACUCCUGAGCUACGCAGACCUGAUUCUUGUUUUCACAAGAAACAUAGGCAACCCUCAUUUGGGUUCGUCCCCCUUUUUUGCCCAAAUAAAUAAAAGAUUCAAAAUUUGACUUGAUUGGUACCAACACAGUUAGAAGUAUGCAUGAGAAAGAACAAAUUGGUAUGAUGGAGAGGACCGUCUUUACGGUAAACCAUAGAUUCUUUUGGUACCUCUUAGUCGAACCUAAGUGACACUCGAGAAUUCUCUUGCAUACAUCUAAGAUAAGAACAAAGUUAACCUCAUCGUUUCAAGUGCAUUAUGUGGUGAGCCUUAGACUAGUUCACUGUAUUGCAUUGUUGAUCUAGAAUUUGACCUGAAUGUUGUUGAGGCAAAAUUCUGAGUUACACUGAGUUUGGGAAAGGAUUGUAGGUCUUUUUUGACCCGAUUGUGCCUUCCACACCCACCAAAUGACAUAAAUCCCUAGUAUUUUCCCCUUUGAGCCUGAAGCCUUUUCUUGAAUAACCACAUCUGAGCCUAUACCUUUUGAGUGCUUACAUGCACUAUUCCUCUCUUGGCUCGCCUCCUUGAGCUCACUAAGUAUGUGCAAGUUGUAAAUAAAGAUUCAAGAUCAAAGACGUCAAAAACAAAGGACUUAUAGCCCCAUAAGAACAAAAACAAAAGAUGACUUCAAAGAAGAAGGAGCAAAAACCCCCAUAAAAAAAAACUCCAACAAAGAUGGACAAUCUGCAUAGAAAAAAAUACAUUUAUUGAAAAGAAAAGAGGGAAAAACUCCAACAAAAGAUUCAAAAGAAGUCGAAGCAAAUACAAAACAAGGGGCAUAGAAGAACAACAAAGAAGAUCGAGCGUUAAAGCGCCAUAAAUAUCAAAAGCACAGAUACAAUGCAAUGCUCAUUGAGGAAUUAGUCACUUUUAUUCCAAAUGUCAUCCUACCCAACCCCAAUCCUACAUUACAAGCCGAUAACAAGUCCUACAUGAUCUUAUCCUAAGUGUUCUCGCAUUAGUGGAUACCUACAUGAAGGCCAAGCUUAUGGUAUCACAAUUGCAUUCAUUGAACUUCUUUCUGAGUGUGAGCAUAUAUCUCCAACGUUUCCAAAUUCAAAAGAAAAAUAAUACUCAAAUAGGUGUGAGAAUAAGACAUUCUUUUUAGAAAGGGCACUUGAAACGUGAGAACAAGCACAGUUCAAAGUCUUUGUUUGAAGCAAGAUAAAUAUAACUUGUCGAUACUUAGGAAUGUUUGAGGUACCACUUGAAAUUAUAGGAGUUACCCUGAAGUCGAUCUCGGUUAGCUAGGAAGGAGAUGGGGAAUUCUUAUACACACUACUAAUUGUUGGUACCAACUACAGUCAAGACACAACUAUGUUUUUUCCUCAAAAAAGAAAAUACAAAUAAUUUUCUACAUUUUCAUUCUUCACAUUUCUUACCAAGAAAAUACAAAAUAAAUUUAUACAUUUUCACUUGUCCACAUAAAUAAAUAAAAUAAUUUUUGCAUUUUUACAUUUCAACAUUCUUAGAAAGAAAAUCUGAAACAUUUUUCUGCAUCUUACCUUUCCAUAUUUCUAACAAAGAAAAGAGAAAGCAGUAUUCCGCAUUUUUCAACACAAUUUUUACAACGAAAAUACAAAAAAAAAAUUCUUUCCUCUCAUACACAUGCCUUCACAUUACACUUCACAGGGCAGUCCGCCUCGAACAAUAGGACAGGGCAGUCCGCCCCGAACAAUAGGACAAGGGCAGUCUACCCCGAACAAUAGGACAGGACAAGUCCGCCCCGAACAAUAGGACGGGGAAAGUCCGCCCCAAUAAUUUGGCUUUUACAUUUCAUAGACCUGCCAGUCGAACAACUAUUACUUUUCAAAGCCCCGCCAGUCGAGUGGCUUUUACAUUCCAUAGCCCCGCCAGUCGAGUGGCUAUUACCUUUUAAAGCCCCAACAGUCGAGUGACUAUUUAUAUUUCAGCCGACGGAGGCUAUUUACAUUUCAGCCGAUGGAGGCUGUUUACAUUUCAGUCGACGAAGACUAUUUAUAUUUCAGCCGACGGAGGCUAUUUACAUUGCAGCAACUACUCAGCCGAUGGAGGCUAUUUACAUUUCAACCGACAGAGGUUAUCUACAUUUCAGUUAUUGCCCCACCAGUCGGAUUGCCUUCACAAACAGAGACAAUACUAGUUUGAAUAUCCAUACCCUACUCUUUACAUUACAAUUUCAGUUUAUAGUUUUUGAACAACAGGUAUUGUUCACCCCUUUUACCUAUUUUGCAGGAAUAUGCUAUACAACAUAGAACUGGCCUCUUAGCAGCAAACUGGGGCAAGCUAGCGAAAUGUUAAGCAUCCCUAGCUACGUCAAGGAUUCCGGCAAAGAAACUCAACUCGACUCAAAACUCUCAUUUUUUAUAAUCCUUAGCGUCAUCGCCUAGCAUCAUCUAAAUCCGACACUGGGCAAUUUUUGAAAAUCCGUAAUAUCCUCUUCCCUCAAAAUCAUCAGAAGAUAUGACUAUCCAACAUCUCCUUAUUCCCAACUACCCCAAACAACCAUUCAGGGACAAGUACACCCGUAGCCAUUCCAUUCGUGCUGAAAUUUUGUUAUCAUCCUCGAAGAAAUUCAGUGUCACCAUAGUUCUUCAUUGGACAAAUUUUGAUAUUUAUCAAAAUUUUGUUAUGAUUCGAACUACAUUGACUUGAUUCUCGCGACGCUCGAGAUAUGUAGGAAGUUUUAUGCAGAGUUCGAUCAUCACAAUCUCCCAAUCAUUUUUUCUCCCCUAGUACACAAUCUUUCAUCUCCAGCAUUUCACAUCGAUACUGGGGCAAUUUGAAAAGAGCAUCGAAAAUAGAUUAACACUUCUGUUUCCAAACAGUCCUCUCCCCAAUAAUCAUUUCACAUGAUCAUUCAUCCCUAAUAACAAGGUAAUAAAUAAAUUGCCUAUUAUUUUAAAUUACACCUGAUUUGAUCCUCAUACAACUCGAGAUAUGUAUACAACUCUAAAUUAGAGUUUGGAUUUUUCCUUAAAAAAAAAGAAGAAAAAAAAAAAGAAAACAAAGAAAAAAUUAUUUUUUGUCGAGCAAAAUUGGCUACACGUCAACGUUUUCAUUUGAAGACUAAUACAUCAUCCUAAAAUGAAAAGGGGUAACUGUUGAUACCUAAUUUUUGCUUUUCGUGCCUAAAAUUGACGUCUUCAGGCUUCCUGAUCGUUAAAGGGCAUAAAAUGUAAUUUUUUACACCUUUUCACAAUUAUUUUUGACAAAUUAUUGAUAAUCAUCCUUACUUUAGGAUUUUAAUCAAUUUGUUGUCACCUUUUUACUUUUCAUAAUUUAUUAAUACUUUUUCUUAUUUCAAAAUUUUUAUCAAUUUAUUAUCUUUUAAUAUUUUUAAAAUCAUCCGCACACGUGCACAACGUGACGUCACAUUUUUUUACAGUAUUGAGAUGAUUGAUGAAUAGUAAUGAUGAAUAGUAAUGUAGUAUUGAUGAAUAGUAAUAUACUGUAGAUGUGUAAUUUUGUCCAUCCCUGAAUAAUUAAUAUUUACUCAUUUUUAACCUCUCUGUACUCUACCAUACCUAUCUCUUUCCCACCUAACAUU
rnacentral:lncRNA from 1 species